AGCGAACGCUGGCGGCAGGCUUAACACAUGUAAGUCGAACGCUCACCAUCGGGUGGGAGUGGCAGACGGGUGAGUAACACGUGGGAACGUACCUUUUGGUUCGGGACAACUCUGGGAAACUGGAGCUAAUACCGGAUACGCCCUUUGGGGGAAAGGUUUACUGCCGAAGGAUCGGCCCGCGUCUGCUUAGCUAGUUGGUGGGGUAACGGCCUACCAAGGCGACGAUCAGUAGCUGGUCUGAGAGGAUGAUCAGCCACACUGGGACUGAGACACGGCCCAGACUCCUACGGGAGGCAGCAGUGGGGAAUAUUGGACAAUGGGCGCAAGCCUGAUCCAGCCAUGCCGCGUGAGUGAUGAAGGCCUUAGGGUUGUAAAGCUCUUUUAUCCGGGACGAUAAUGACGGUACCGGAGGAAUAAGCCCCGGCUAACUUCGUGCCAGCCGCCGCGGUAACAC
rnacentral:rRNA from 1 species